rnacentral:rRNA from 1 species
GGGUGACGUCAAGUCCUCAUGGCCCUUAUGGGUAGGGCUUCACACGUCAUACAAUGGUCGGUACAGAGGGUUGCCAACCCGCGAGGGGGAGCUAAUCCCACAAAGCCGAUCGUAGUCCGGAUCGCAGUCUGCAACUCGACUGCGUGAAGUCGGAAUCGCUAGUAAUCGUGGAUCAGCAUGUCACGGUGAAUACGUUCCCGGGUCUU